AUGGUGGGCGCCGAGGAUGAGCCGGCGGACCGUGGCAAGAACACUGCCAUGUUUGAGUGCAACAUCUGCUUUGAGAUGGCCGAUGAGCCGGUGGUCACUUCUUGCGGCCACCUCUUCUGCUGGCCUUGUUUGUACCAGUGGCUGCAUAUUCAUUCCACCCACAAGGAAUGCCCUGUCUGCAAAGGUGAGGUGACUGAAGGGAACAUUACUCCUAUCUAUGGGAGAGGGAAUUCAACUUCCGAUGUGGAGAAGAAAGUCGCAGACGAUGCCAACGUGUCCAGUCCUAACAUUCCCGCCAGGCCACAUGGGAACCGUCUCGAGAGUUUUCGACAACAGUUCCAUCAUUUGCGCCCAAUUUCUCGUAGGCUUGGCGAGGCACAUGGGAUAUUAUCUUCUUGGAGACGCAUUCUUGAUCAGCAGAUUAUGACUAGCGCGAGUAGGUUUGAAGGGCCUCCAGAAUCAUCUGUCCAGGAGAUGAUAGAUCAUGCUCAUCAGACUGGCCGUCUAGGCCGAAUUACUACUAGGAUGAGAGCAAGGAGGCUGCAAAGGGAAGCAGAAAAUCCUACAUUUGUUUCUUCUUCUACUCCGGACAGCGGGCUGCCAGGAAGCAGGGCGCCAGAUCCUCCAAGGCGUAGUUCAAGUCCACUUUCCUCGGAAGGAAUUGAUUUGUUGCAACGCCUUACCCUUGUUGGCCUUGCAAAUACGGAAAGGUUGGCAACUGCAGUGAGCGAUCUUAGAAGAAUAUCCAGGCCAAGCCUCCGAGCAUCAACUUCGUCAAAUCUGCCAAAUCAUGAGCCGCCAGUUGAUGGAAUCCAUGCUGCUGCAGCACCGUCUGCAGAUCAAACUUCUAAUUCGAGCACAAUGGCUGUGAUUCAGGAGGAUGCUGCUUUUACUGAAAGCGUAGGAGAACCAAGCAAUGCAGGUUCCUCAAGAACCCUGAGGAGGAGGGGAAGAAGCGAUGCCUUAGGUUCGUUGGAUGUGGAUGGUGGCGAAACACACCGGAACAAGAGAAGGCGGCUGAACUAA
rnacentral:rRNA from 1 species